rnacentral:lncRNA from 1 species
UUCACCAUUAUGCUGUAGCUGCUCUGAUUCACACUAGAGCUCCAGUUCAUGUGUGUGUUGACCCAGUCAAUGCCAUACGUCAAGCUCACAGCUGAGCUUCAUUUUGUGCGAUGCAAUUGCUCAGGGCUGUGUAUACUUGCUGUAGGGUUUUUGUAAAAGGAGGAAAAAACUAGUUUUAACUAUGUUUCAGCUUCUUGCCUAAUUCAGAGUUAAGAGUAUGAGUUGACUAGGAAGGUGUAUGGACAGAGUACCUAAGAAAAAUGUAAUCAAGGUAGGGAGUUGGAUAUUGCUUUUCUGUUUCUACCACAGGAAAACAUAUACCUAUCUCUGAAGAUGUAGUUUUUUUUCAAACAAUAUUUUGUUUUUUUUUCAAGAAUUACAUACUUGCAUAUAAGCAACAGGAGAGAAAAUUGCAAUUAGAGUUCCGACAUAAUUAUCCAUGCAGACAAUUGUAAAACAUGUAGCUGUUCCUUGUGUCUUUUUGAGAUUGUUCUGGAUGUGUCCAGAAGCAGCAGGGACCCUAGGGAUGUUUUUCCAUGGUUGAAUGGGGUGGGGCCAUGCUCCUAGGGCAGCUGCAUUUAAUUCAAUUGAGAAAACACUUGUGGAGUUGCAGCUUUAUCUGUUACUCUCCAUUGUCCACAAAUAGCUUUGGAAAAGCUCUUACAUUGUUAGAGUUGGCUUUUGUGUGAUGUGUUAGAAGAUAAGCAAUGCAGAAGACACUGGAUUUUUUCCUCUUAGAAGCAGGCAUGACAGCAGCUACAUUCAGUCCGGAGGUGAGACCACAACCACCACACCACAAACCAUCCUGGGACUCUAGCGUAUUGCCUCAGAGGGCAAUAACCAGACAACAGUAGAGAUGGAAAUUGGAAGAUUAAGAAACUUACUUAUAAAGAAGAAGAGUAAAACAAAUAUCCAGAAAUGCUUGGAGACUUUAGACAAUUAAAAGGAGAAAAAAUGCCUGGCAUACUCCGAAGAGGGAUUAUCAGGAAUGAUUGCAGCACCAGCCCACAGCUCAUAUGAAGUUAACCAUUGCAUGAUUGGAAAACUCCUGUGCUGCAAAGUUGCAUCACUAAUCAAUCACUCCGUCAACUCCAAUUGUAUGCUGAAACCUCUACUUUCCUUCAUCUUCUGUGUAAAUAUAUUUCUUUUUCUUCCCUCUGCUGGAGAGGUUUGAAGUCUGAAGUAAUAAAGAGAACAAAUUAUGAUUGAGAACUUAUGAA